GCCGAGCCUAGUAAUGUGAGUUUGUAACUAAACAGGGCAUUAAAGUGAUCGGUUGUUUGAUUGAAACCUUCUUGAGUGAGGCAUAAUGAUCUUGGGCUGUUCACCUAAACCUUCAUCUUA
rnacentral:sRNA from 1 species